rnacentral:tRNA from 1 species
UGCAGCUCAGUGGUAGGGCACUUGCCUGGCAUGCAUGAGAUCCUGAGUUCCAUCCCCAGCACUGCAA